UUGAAGUGUACUUGAAUUAUCAAAGCAAAGUUUAUUCUUAAUUUCCAUCCUCAUAUCAAUUAGUUUUCUCGUCGAACAGCAAUUGUGAUGAUUUUAAUAUAUUUGUUCUCGUUUUUACAGUGCUGUUUCGGAUCCCCGUUAAUAAGCCAAUUCCCGAUGACGUCAUCAUCAUCCGCACAUAACUGAGUUCGAUCUGUUCACAUCCGGGAGGAUCUUCUGAAGGGCCGUUGGUUUGUUGUUAAAAAAUCAUUGGAUCCUUUGGUGUUUGAUUUAAGUACCAGUUGUAGAACGACCACAUACGAUUUUGACAAAAAUAAACACGGCUGGUAUAUCAACGUCAAUACAACGGUUUGCUACAAACUCUUUUACAUUUGGAACGAAUGUACAAAAUACUCUCUCAAGGCAUACACAACCCCAAAAUCAGCUUCAAACGCACAGGGCUCUUUUAUAGCUGAUUUGAACGACCAAGGCCCUGAGAACUCACCAACAAGCUACCACUUUCUGCGUUUAGAUGAAGACUUUGCAGUGGUAUAUUUUUGCAGAAUGUUGAAUGAGUCAAUGCUUGAAAUGGCAUUCGUUUUAUCCAGGUCACGAAAUCCAGAUUUGGCUGACAUAAAGAAAAUGGAGAGGAUUUUGAUUUAUAAUGGACUGGACAUGGAAAUGAUUGAUGUCAUCAACUCGAACUGCCCUUUGAACGACGAAGAUGAAGAUGACACUGAACCUGAAGCAAAAGUGUUAUAUAAAAAUCAGUACUACAACUUAUAAUUCAGCGAAAUUUAUGUAUGUGUAAUCAAUUUUAUUUACAAAAUGUUGCAACAACACACAGUUAAAUUGAAGUUAUUAAUUA